GUGUCCUUUAAGUGAAACACACGAUAAGGGGGUGGUUAUGUCCUGGGGACCGUUAGAAUGCCAGUGACGCGAUUGGUGGGUUUCAAGACACGCCGUCACAGAGGCGUGUUGUGACUGACCGGCCAGCCAAAGACCUCAAAACAUAGGCAACCAAUGAACCUGUGCCACCCUGCAUUCCCCCUUCAUUUCAGUGGAGCAGAGCAGACUCUCGAUCUCUCCCAGGUCCCUCCCUUACAGGCCUGGAUGAGAAGGAAGAGGCAGGAGGCCAGACAAGGGGGAAGGAGCUGGGUAAAGUAAGAGGGAAGUGAAGGUCUUGAAAAGCAUCUUUAUCUUUUGUGAAAAAAGCCACAAGACCUCUUCCCGCAGAGCUGUCUUCUCCCCACGCAGAGCUGUCUUCUCCCCACCGGUGAUUUGUAAUUGGGAGGAUCUCAUUUCCCCCACACUCCCAACUCCUGCUCUGCUCCUCCCAACCCUCCCAGUCAAGCAGGCGGCCCCCUGACAAACAGCCUCGGGCAAGAAAGCUUGAUCAUCCUCAGAACCCAGCACUCUCUUUCUGGACCUUACCGACUGUUUUCCAGUUCUAUGAAGAGAAAAGAAGGUGACCAAAUUUAACACAAAGAGCAAGAGGCAAUGUGCUAAAUAAACCCUGGAAAGAUGACAAGAAAGCCCAAUGAGACAAAGUCCUUGACCCACAAGGAGCUCACAGGCAGAAGAUCCAGUUUACACCUUCGUCCCAAGAAAGGGAGAUGGGCCCUGGGGGACCACCUCUCCCCAGAAUGAGUACAGCGGAACCCAACCUGGAACAGCCUGAAAUUGCCCUGUUCCAGCACAAGAGGAAGAUACUCAACGGAGAAAGAGCAGAGAUCCGCAGGGACUGUCCAGACCAGACUGGUGCGGGAGGGGGAAAUCAAAGAGGUGUGCUGGGCCCAGGGAGUCCUAAUCUCACACUGUGGUAGCCUUUUGGGCAUCAGAACCUACACUGCGUGCCGGACUCGUUCCCACUCCCGAGAGCCCGACGCUGGUCUCUGAGAAGCGGGUCGGGGUCGGACCCCAAAGUGAUAACCGUGGUACGUGGGUGGUUACGUGCCAGGUGGCGGCAGUCCGGCAGUCACAAUCCAUUGGUCGUUCUGCCGCAGACAACUGCUACCCAGUGGGGCAGUCUCUUCUUUACUCCUCUCAGCCGCCUCCCCUCUGGACCUUCCUUUUGCUACACUGAGCCAGUCCCUCUGGCCCACAAACCCCAGCCCGAGCCGCCUGUGGGUAACGGGGCUCUCGGCUCAGGUCGACUCUGGACCAGACGGAGUGGCUCCGGCACCCUGCAGACCGACCCCCUAUGCCCGCCAUUCCAAGGGGCUGGUCGCCAGAAUCAGCUGGCCGGCGGCUCAGGGCCGGACACUCUCCGAGCGAUGUUGGGGUUAUCACAAUUUUAUGGAACCUGAUUCCCAGAUGGACCCCAGACCCUUAGGAACAGCCGUCCCCAACACUUUCAGACCCGGUUCGGCCCACAGCCGACCCCCUCUCUACCCUCAACAUCUACUCCCGGUUAGGCUCCUCGCACCCUGGAUGCCACGGUGCACCCGGUGGCCCCGGGUGUCUCCGCGAGCCCCCAGCAUGGCCACAACCCACUCGGGGCUGGGUGCCCCGGCACUCCUCGAUGCAUAGACAGCAGGCCCGGAAGCCGCCCCGCCUCCACUCUGCCCCGGGGACUGACCUCCGGGGAGCUCUGGUCAGUGCUUGCGUCCGAAGGGCUGGCUGGCCGCUCCUGUAACUGAGGCACGGUGAAAGUCAGUUCCAGGGGCUCGGAAUUUGGCUCUAACUUGGUGACGAUUUCUUGGUUGAGCGCUGGAUCGGCGCUGCUGCGCAGGGGUUUGUCUGGCUCUGUGGCAGGCAGGGGAGACAGUGCCAGGUUGAGGUUCUGCAAUUUCUCACUAGACGAGGGGAGCAUCACAUCAUUAUACAAGGGAACUUCGUCAAGCAGCUGCUGCUCCUCUGUUUCUGCAGAAGGGGAAGAAAGGGAGCCUGUAGGGACUGGUAGGCUUGCAGUUCACUUGAACAAACAAGGACACCUUCCUCCUCUGCUUCCCUGGUCCGACCCCUACCGCCUCACGGGCCCGAGAGAACGUGGCCAGGGAAUGGGGGAACCCGGGUCUUCCAGGACCGUGCGCCCAUCGAGGCACGGUUCUCUGCCCGGCUUUUCCAUCGGGAAAGGCAGCCCCCACAUCCUGGAAAUGCGGAUGCAUCCGGAGCGUACCGGAGCGACUACUGAAGUGAGUUUGCCCAGAACUGGUUCGGUACUGGGAUUUUCUUGUACGCUGAACUAGAAGAAAUUUUCACUUAAGUCAAUAUUCUUAAGGUUGCAGGAAGUUGAGCAAAGAGGGAGAUGAUCACAUAUCUGAUACCAGUUAGCACUUACUUUCAGAGGAGAAAAUGGUUUGGGAACUGAUUAAAAAUGGGGUUUCAAUACCCGAAUGAAUCCAACAUCUAGAAAAACCGAGCCCUCGUCCCCCGCCAACUCUUCUCAGUAGUCUCUCUGUCCUCAGUCUCUGCUCUCCUCCCACUUCCGGGGCACCACACUCUCUUUGCUGCUCCCCAAUCUUUCUUUAAAAUAUGGGUCCGGAGCCCUGCGCCGGUAAAAGUGAUGGCCCAGCCCCUGUGGCAGUACCGAGUCUCCCUCCUCUCAGGGAAAUCCUAGAGGGAUCUGGGGCCCAACUUUUUUCCAUCUGGACAGUAGAUCCUCCUAAAUGGGCUCCCCUUACCCCUGCUUCUCCCCAUCCCCCUCCCAGCCCUCACUAAAAGCCAAAAUGGCCCUAGCUGUGAUACUAGCUUCCUGAAUAAAGACCAUCCUAGUGUCUUCUCCCUUA